UACGUAGGUGGCAAGCGUUGUCCGGAAUUAUUGGGCGUAAAGCGCGCGCAGGCGGUCUCUUAAGUCUGAUGUGAAAGCCCACGGCUCAACCGUGGAGGGUCAUUGGAAACUGGGGGACUUGAGUGCAGAAGAGGAAAGCGGAAUUCCACGUGUAGCGGUGAAAUGCGUAGAGAUGUGGAGGAAUACCGAUGGCGAAGGCAGGUCUCUGGGCUGACACUGACGCUCAUGCACGAAAGCGUGGGGAGCAAACAGG
rnacentral:rRNA from 1 species